rnacentral:misc_RNA from 1 species
UCGCGGCUUAUCACCGGCAGUCCCCUUAGAGUGCCCAACUGAAUGAUGGCAACUAAGGGCGAGGGUUGCGCUCGUUGCGGGACUUAACCCAACAUCUCACGACACGAGCUGACGACAGCCAUGCAGCACCUGUGUCCAGGUUCCCUUUCGGGCACACUCCCAUCUCUGGGAGCUUCCUGGCAUGUCAAGGGUAGGUAAGGUUUUUCGCGUUGCAUCGAAUUAAUCCACAUAAUCCACCGCUUGUGCGGGUCCCCGUCAAUUCCUUUGAGUUUUAACCUUGCGGCCGUACUCCCCAGGCGGUCGACUUCACGCGUUAGCUUCGUUACUGAGAGUGUCAAACCCCCAACAACCAGUCGACAUCGUUUAGGGCGUGGACUAC